GUUGUAGAGGGAAUGAGUGUCUUGAUUACUUCUUCUUGUGUGUGUGAAUCUAGUAUAGUAAAAGUUUUAACAUUGUGCUUGUGUAUCCCUCCGCGACACAAUACAGGACGACUGUUAACAGCUGCUUCUGACCAGUACGCAAAGCUAUUAGCCGGAGAGCACAGUCUGCCUUCUGAAGCUGUUUAACAAUUAUCCCAUUUGAAAUGUUUGUCUCUUUGAAACACACACCUAUACCGAGUUGAAUAAUUUGAAUGGGGAGUGCCUAGAUGUAAAGGGUGUUGGAGAACUCCAGUCCAUUUAGGACAUUAACAAAACAGGACGGAAUGAAACUAAACCAUAAUGAUUCUUAGCAGAAAAUAUUUGCCCUUCUCUUACUGGUUUAUUCCCAAAUCAGUGACGGGCCGUAUCAGUAGUUUUCGUAGGCCAUAUGCGGCCCGCGGACCUCAUGUUUCUGUGUCUGUACUACUGAUAGUCUCCGCGAUUUAUAAUCGCAUCGUUUCAAAAUCGGCAAAUUAACGUGAAACACGCAUGUGGGCGGACGAAUAAAUUUACUAACCUACGAAAAGAGCCGAAGACUUCCCGGUAUGUCUGUUUUAUGCACUUCUUGCGAAAAAAAAUAUACAGAGAGAAUUUUGUUGUGAAGGGAAAUUUGUGUUGUAACGGAGUUAAACUGGAAUAACGCCGAGAAGUGGCUGCUUGCUAAUCGAAUGCACCCGACCUUGUGCAAGUGUCCCGAAGGCAGAAGGUUGUUGGAGAGGAGCUAGUGAAACUGCAACGUGGUGUGUCGUGGGUUGGAAGAAUUUACGUGUAAAGUCACUUUCUUGUAAAGAUAUUAAAUAUAAUGUUUUCUGUUAUAGUUACUGUUGGUGCGUGGGUUUCAAUAAUUAGUGCAUGAAGUGUGUUAAUGUUAUUGUGUGCUGUGCAUUACAAAACUUGCUGUGCGUUAAUAACUACAGAACUGAAGUACUUUAAUUAAUUAAUUACAAGCGUUUGAAUCAGAUUGGUUAGAAGACUUCACGUUCCUUUGAAUAUUGGUGGGACACCAUAUUACCAGAUCUUACCACCUGACCAGAUUUAAGUGCAAUAAUCCGCACUCUGGAACAAGUGCAUCCUCAACGAAAAGCAUGGUACCUGUCCCACAGAUGCGUGCACCAGAUGGAAAUACACAGUUAUAAACUUAGAGAAAACCUUCAGACACAAAAUCAUAAAGAAAAUCACGAGGGAGAUAUAAGAAAAACCUCGACAACGAGAAAGAAUGAAACCAAAGAAUAAAUUUCAACGUUCCGUAAAGUGAACCCCCUAUAGUGACACCCCGCAGGGAUAAAGAAUCGCAUUUUGAAUGAAAGCUACAUGACCCAAGAGACGUGGUGUCAACUGCAAAGCCGAACGGGGGUACAAAACUGCACAGAGACAAGUCGCUGUUCUCUGAGAAAUGAUGAGACUUCUUCAGGAUGGUUGUAUUCUGGGACGUUUCGCUAUGUAUUUUGGUAGAACUUUAUCGACGCCCGGAUGAUGGAGACAGCAACGACUUCCGAAGCGUCCGCAUACUUCUACCAGACUACACAACCCAGAAGACAGCCAUCUUCAUACUCGCCUCUAUGACAACCUUUAAUCUCAUUAAGCCUUCUACAGGUUCAUCAGGUAUGUCCAUUGUAACUUUAAUGCGACUAUCGAAUCUUCUGUAACGCGAAGUUUCAUAACCACGUUCACAAGAGCUCUCCACCAGUUCCUAUUUCGAUCCAGAUUAAUCCAGUCAACACCCUCAGACACUAUUCUCUAAUACGUUUUAAUAUUAUUCUCCCAUACACUUCUAGGUCUUCCCCCA